rnacentral:rRNA from 1 species
UGCCCAGAUGGGAUUAGCUAGUUGGUGAGGUAACGGCUCACCAAGGCGACGAUCCCUAGCUGGUCUGAGAGGAUGACCAGCCACACUGGAACUGAGACACGGUCCAGACUCCUACGGGAGGCAGCAGUGGGGAAUAUUGCACAAUGGGCGCAAGCCUGAUGCAGCCAUGCCGCGUGUAUGAAGAAGGCCUUCGGGUUGUAAAGUACUUUCAGCGGGGAGGAAGGUGUUGUGGUUAAUAACCGCAGCAAUUGACGUUACCCG